rnacentral:rRNA from 1 species
UACGGAGGGUGCAAGCGUUAUCCGGAUUCACUGGGUUUAAAGGGUGCGUAGGUGGGCAGGUAAGUCAGUGGUGAAAUCUCCGAGCUUAACUCGGAAACUGCCGUUGAUACUAUUUGUCUUGAAUAUUGUGGAGGUAAGCGGAAUAUGUCAUGUAGCGGUGAAAUGCUUAGAUAUGACAUAGAACACCAAUUGCGAAAGGCAGCUUACUACACAACGAUUGACGCUGAGGCACGAAAGCGUUGGGGGAUCAAACAGG